CCUACGGGAGGCAGCAGUGGGGAAUAUUGCACAAUGGGGGAAACCCUGAUGCAGCGACGCCGCGUGAAGGAAGAAGGAUUUCGGUAUGUAAACUUCUAUCAGCAGGGAAGAAAAUGGCGGUACCUGACUAAUAAGCCCCGGCUAACUACGUGCCAGCAGCCGCGGUAAUACGAAGGGGGCAAGCGUUAUCCGGAUUUAAUGGGUGUAAAGGGAGCGUAGGCGGUUUAGCAAGUCAGAAGUGAAAGCCCAGGGCUCAACUACGGGACUGCUUUUGAAACUGUUGGACUAGAUUUCAGGAGAGGUAAGUGGAAUUCCUGGUGUAGCGGUGAAAUGCGUAGAUAUUAGGAGGAACACCAGUGGCGAAGGCGGCUUACUGGACUGUAAAUGACGCUGAGGCUCGAAAGCGUGGGGAGCAAACAGGAUUAGAUACCCUGGUAGUC
rnacentral:rRNA from 1 species